GAUGAACGCUGGCGGCGUGCCUAAUACAUGCAAGUCGAGCGAACAGAUGAGGAGCUUGCUCCUCUGACGUUAGCGGCGGACGGGUGAGUAACACGUGGAUAACCUACCUAUAAGACUGGGAUAACUUCGGGAAACCGGAGCAAAUACCGGAUAAUAUAUUAAACCGCAUGGUUCAAUAUGGAAAGACGGUUUUGCUGUAACUAUUAAAGGGAUCCGCGCCGCAUUAGCUAGUUGGUAAGGUAACGGCUUACCAAGGCAACGAUGCGUAGCCGACCUGAGAGGGUGAUCGGCCACACUGGAACUGAGACACGGUCCAGACUCCUACGGGAGGCAGCAGUAGGGAAUCUUCCGCAAUGGGCGAAAGCCUGACGGAGCAACGCCGCGUGAGUGAUGAAGGUCUUCGGAUCGUAAAACUCUGUUAUUAGGGAAGAACAAAUGUGUAAGUAACUAUGCACGUCUUGACGGUACCUAAUCAGAAAGCCACGGCUAACUACGUG
rnacentral:rRNA from 1 species